rnacentral:rRNA from 1 species
UUAAGCAUAUCAAUAAGCGGAGGAAAAGAAACCAACAGGGAUUGCCUCAGUAACGGCGAGUGAAGCGGCAACAGCUCAAAUUUGAAAUCUGGCUCCUCGCGGGGUCCGAGUUGUAAUUUGUAGAGGAUGCUUCGGGUACGGCACUGGUCUAAGUCCCUUGGAACAGGGCGUCAUAGAGGGUGAGGAUCCCGUAUGCGACCGGCGACCAAGCCCAUGUGAAGCUCCUUCGACGAGUCGAGUUGUUUGGGAAUGCAGCUCAAAAUGGGUGGUAAAUUUCAUCUAAAGCUAAAUACCGGCCAGAGACCGAUAGCGCACAAGUAGAGUGAUCGAAAGAUGAAAAGCACUUUGGAAAGAGAGUCAAAAAGUACGUGAAAUUGUUGAAAGGGAAGCGCUUGUAACCAGACCUGCCGUCGGGUGUUCCGCGGGCAUUCAUUGCCCGUCUACUCACCCGCGAUCAGGCCAGCAUCGGUUCGGGCGGCCGGAUAAAGACUCGAGGAAUGUAGCUUCGCUUCGGGGAAGUGUUAUAGCCUCUUGUGCAAUACGGCCAGCCGGGACCGAGGACCGCGCUUCGGCUAGGAUGCUGGCGUAAUGGUUGCAAGCGACCCGUCUUGAAACACGGACCAAGGAGUCUAACAUCUAUGCGAGUGUUUGGGUGUCAAACCCAUGCGCGGAAUGAAAGUGAACGGAGGUGGGAACCCUUAAGGGUGCACCAUCGACCGAUCCGGAAGUUUACGGAUGGAUUUGAGUAUGAGCAUAGCUGUUGGGACCCGAAAGGUAUAGUCGAACCCCCCGAUACUCUGUCCUCGAGACCUAUGCUAACGUGCGUAAUAGAUGGUGAACUAUGCCUGAAUAGGGUGAAGCCAGAGGAAACUCUGGUGGAGGCUCGCAGCGGUUCUGACGUGCAAAUCGAUCGUCAAAUUUGGGUAUAGGGGCGAAGUAAGCACCCCUUCUCCACCGAUACCGCGGAGCAAGUACUAACAGAUCCUUCACAGAGACUAAUCGAACCAUCUAGUAGCUGGUUCCUGCCGAAGUUUCGUAAGUUUCUCCCCGGAGACCCCUUAGUAAAGCCGUGCUAACAAUCUCAACAGCCUCAGGAUAGCAGUAACGUUUUCAGUUUUAUGAGGUAAAGCGAAUGAUUAGAGGCCUGGGGGAUGAAACAUCCUUCACCUAUUCUCAAACUUUCAAUAUGUAAGAAGUCCUUGUUACUUAGUUGAACGUGGACAUUUGAAUGUACCGUUACUAGUGGGCCAUUUUUGGUAAGCAGAACUGGCGAUGCGGGAUGAACCGAACGUGGGGUUAAGGUGCCGGAAUGUACGCUCAUCAGACACCAAGGGAAAGACUUGUGGUGUCUGGCCGGGGGGAGAACCCCCGGCGUCAGUCUGCGAAAGGCGAGGUCUUUGACCUGUAGGGGUCGGCGGUCGCUCCGGCGGCGGCCCACCCUCUGCUGCCCCUUGGCCGGGACAGCUCACAGAUCAAGCAAAGGCCGGCGGCCGAGUGCCGUUGGAGAUAUGAUCGGCCCCCGGAGGUUCACUCCGGGGAGCAAGUGCAAAAGGUGUUGAUUCAUCUAGACAGCCGGACGGUGGCCAUGGAAGUCGGAAUCCGCUAAGGAGUGUGUAACAACUCACCGGCCGAAUGAAUCAGCCCUGAAAAUGGAUGGCGCUCAAGCGUGCUA